GAUGAACGCUGGCGGCGUGCCUAAUACAUGCCAGUCGAGCGAACAGACGAGGAGCUUGCUCCUCUGACGUUAGCGGCGGACGGGUGAGUAACACGUGGAUAACCUACCUAUAAGACUGGGAUAACUUCGGGAAACCGGAGCUAAUACCGGAUAAUAUAUUGAACCGCAUGGUUCAAUAGUGAAAGACGAUUUUGCUGUCACUUAUAGAUGGAUCCGCGCCGCAUUAGCUAGUUGGUAAGGUAACGGCUUACCAAGGCAACGAUGCGUAGCCGACCUGAGAGGGUGAUCGGCCACACUGGAACUGAGACACGGUCCAGACUCCUACGGGAGGCAGCAGUAGGGAAUCUUCCGCAAUGGGCGAAAGCCUGACGGAGCAACGCCGCGUGAGUGAUGAAGGUCUUCGGAUCGUAAAACUCUGUUAUUAGGGAAGAACAAAUGUGUAAGUAACUAUGCACGUCUUGACGGUACCUAAUCAGAAAGCCACGGCUAACUACGUG
rnacentral:rRNA from 1 species